rnacentral:rRNA from 1 species
UACAGAGGUCUCAAGCGUUGUUCGGAUUCAUUGGGCUUAAAGGGCGCGUUAGGCGGCGGUGUAAGUUGGAAGUGAAAUCCCAUCGGCUCAACCGUGGAAUUGCUCCCAGUACUGCAUCGCUCGAGGGGGAUAGGGGUUUGCGGAACUACCGGUGGAGCGGUGAAAUGUGUUGAUAUCGGUGGGAACGCCAGUGGCGAAAGCGGCAAACUUGACCCUUCCUGACGCUGAUGCGCGAAAGCUAGGGGAGCAAACGGG